rnacentral:rRNA from 1 species
GACGAACGCUGGCGGCGUGCCUAAUGCAUGCAAGUCGCACGCACGGAGCGUGCUCCGUGAGUGGCGCACGGCUGAGGAACACGUGGGCACCUGCCCGACCGUGGGGGAUAACCGCGCGAAAGCGCGGCUAAUCCCGCAUACGCUCCCGCACAGGCGGGAGGAAAGCCCUACGGCGCGGUCGGAGGGGCCUGCGGCCCAUCAGGUGGUUGGUGUGGUAACGGCGCACCAAGCCGAUGACGGGUAGCUGGUCUGUGAGGACAACCAGCCAGACUGGGACUGAGACACGGCCCAGACUCCUACGGGAGGCAGCAGCAAGGAAUUUUCCCCAAUGGGCUCACGCCCGAGGGAGCAACGCCGCGUGCGGGACGACGGCCUUCGGGUUGUAAACCGCUUUUGGCGGGGACGAUGAUGACGGUGCCCGCCGAAUAAGCCUCGGCUAACUCUGUGCCAGCAGCCGCGGUAAGACAGAGGAGGCCAGCGUUGUCCGGACUGACUGGGCGUAAAGCGCGCGCAGGCGGGUCGGGGCGUCGGUGCUGAAAGGCUCCCGCUUAACGGGAGACGGCGUGCCGAUACGCCCGAUCUGGAGGGUGGGCGAGGGUGGUGGAAUUGCCGGUGUAGUGGUGAAAUGCGUAGAGAUCGGCAGGAACACCCGUGGCGGAGGCGGCCACCUAGCCCGCACCUGACGCUGAGGCGCGACAGCGUGGGGAGCGAACGGGAUUAGAUACCCCGGUAGUCCACGCCGUAAACGAUGCCGACUCGGUAUCCGUGGGGCGAAUAGCCUCGGGGGUGCCCCAGCUCACGCGGUAAGUCGGCCGCCUGGGGACUACGAGCGCAAGCUUA